AGUGAACGCUGGCGGUAGGCCUAACACAUGCAAGUCGAACGGCAGCACAGGAGAGCUUGCUCUCUGGGUGGCGAGUGGCGGACGGGUGAGGAAUACAUCGGAAUCUACCUUUUCGUGGGGGAUAACGUAGGGAAACUUACGCUAAUACUGCAUACGACCUACGGGUGAAAGUGGGCGACCGCAACGCCUCACGCGAUUAGAUGAGCCGAUGUCCGAUUAGCUAGUUGGCGGGGUAAUGUCGCACCAGGGCGACGAUCGGUAGCUGGUCUGAGAGGAAGAUCAGCCACACUGGAAAUGAGACACGGUCCAGAGUCCUACGGGAGGCAGCAGUGGGGAAUAUUGGACGAUGGGCGCAAGCCUGAUCCAGCCAUACCGCGUGGGUGAAGAAGGCCUUCGGGUUGUAAAGCCCUUUUGUUGGGAAAGAAAUCCUGUCGAUUAAUACCCGGUGGGGAUGACGGUACCCAAAGAAUAAGCACCGGCUAACUUCGUGCCAGCCGCCGCAGUAAUAC
rnacentral:rRNA from 1 species